GCGAUGAAGGGCGUGCUAAUCUGCGAUAAGCGCCGGUAAGGUGAUAUGAACCGUUAUAACCGGCGAUACCCGAAUGGGGAAACCCAGUGUGAUUCGUCACACUAUCAUUAACUGAAUCCAUAGGUUAAUGAGGCGAACCGGGGGAACUGAAACAUCUAAGUACCCCGAGGAAAAGAAAUCAACCGAGAUUCCCCCAGUAGCGGCGAGCGAACGGGGAGGAGCCCAGAGCCUGAAUCAGCAUGUGUGUUAGUGGAAGCGUCUGGAAAGGCGCGCGAUACAGGGUGACAGCCCCGUACACAAAAGCGCAUGUGCUGUGAGCUCGAUGAGUAGGGCGGGACACGUGGUAUCCUGUCUGAAUAUGGGGGGACCAUCCUCCAAGGCUAAAUACUCCUGACUGACCGAUAGUGAACCAGUACCGUGAGGGAAAGGCGAAAAGAACCCCGGCGAGGGGAGUGAAAAAGAACCUGAAACCGUGUACGUACAAGCAGUGGGAGCACAGGUUUACCUGUGUGACUGCGUACCUUUUGUAUAAUGGGUCAGCGACUUAU
rnacentral:rRNA from 1 species